GAUGAACGCUGGCGGCGUGCCUAAUACAUGCAAGUCGAGCGAACGGACGAGAAGCUUGCUUCUCUAAUGUUAGCGGCGGACGGGUGAGUAACACGUGGAUAACCUACCUAUAAGACUGGGAUAACUUCGGGAAACCGUAGCUAAUACCGGAUAAUAUUUUGAACCGCAUGGUUCAAAAGUGAAAGACGGUCUUGCUGUCACUUAUAGAUGGAUCCGCGCUGCAUUAGCUAGUUGGUAAGGUAACGGCUUACCAAGGCAACGACGCAUAGCCGACCUGAGAGGGUGAUCGGCCACACUGGAACUGAGACACGGUCCAGACUCCUACGGGAGGCAGCAGUAGGGAAUCUUCCGCAAUGGGCGAAAGCCUGACGGAGCAACGCCGCGUGAGUGAUGAAGGUCUUCGGAUCGUAAAACUCUGUUAUUAGGGAAGAACAUAUGUGUAAGUAACUGUGCACAUCUUGACGGUACCUAAUCAGAAAGCCACGGCUAACUACGUG
rnacentral:rRNA from 1 species